rnacentral:snRNA from 1 species
AUGAGGGCUGUCUGGCGGUGACAUCUGCCACCCCACUGAACGCAAGGGUUGAUUCGGCUGAUCUGGCUGGCUAGGUGGAUGUCAACAUCCUCCCUCACUGCUCCAUGUGCGUCCAUCCUGAAGCUGGGUGCUCUGUCAAAGAGGACAACUUUCCCUGAAUAGAGGAGGACUGGUCUUUGGUCAAGGAGCUAUGCUCCCCCUUAGAACCUUCAAACAAGAUGAGACAUUUCUUAUCAGACUACACACUGACUGGCAUCAGAACACUUCUGUCUUUUGU